GGGUAGUUUGACUGGGGCGGUCUCCUCCUAAAGAGUAACGGAGGAGCACGAAGGUUGGCUAAUCCUGGUCGGACAUCAGGAGGUUAGUGCAAUGGCAUAAGCCAGCUUGACUGCGAGCGUGACGGCGCGAGCAGGUGCGAAAGCAGGUCAUAGUGAUCCGGUGGUUCUGAAUGGAAGGGCCAUCGCUCAACGGAUAAAAGGUACUCCGGGGAUAACAGGCUGAUACCGCCCAAGAGUUCAUAUCGACGGCGGUGUUUGGCACCUCGAUGUCGGCUCAUCACAUCCUGGGGCUGAAGUAGGUCCCAAGGGUAUGGCUGUUCGCCAUUUAAAGUGGUACGCGAGCUGGGUUUAGAACGUCGUGAGACAGUUCGGUCCCUAUCUGCCGUGGGCGCUGGAGAACUGAGGGGGGCUGCUCCUAGUACGAGAGGACCGGAGUGGACGCAUCACUGGUGUUCGGGUUGUCAUGCCAAUGGCACUGCCCGGUAGCUAAAUGCGGAAGAGAUAAGUGCUGAAAGCAUCUAAGCACGAAACUUGCCCCGAGAUGAGUUCUCCCUGACUCCUUGAGAGUCCUGAAGGAACGUUGAAGACGACGACGUUGAUAGGCCGGGUGUGUAAGCGCAG
rnacentral:rRNA from 1 species